rnacentral:rRNA from 1 species
GAUGAACGCUGGCGGCGUGCCUAAUACAUGCAAGUCGAGCGAACAGACGAGGAGCUUGCUCCUCUGACGUUAGCGGCGGACGGGUGAGUAACACGUGGAUAACCUACCUAUAAGACUGGGAUAACUUCGGGAAACCGGAGCUAAUACCGGAUAAUAUAUUGAACCGCAUGGUUCAAUAGUGAAAGACGGUUUUGCUGUCACUUAUAGAUGGAUCCGCGCCGCAUUAGCUAGUUGGUAAGGUAACGGCUUACCAAGGCGACGAUGCGUAGCCGACCUGAGAGGGUGAUCGCCCACACUGGAACUGAGACGCGGUCCAGACUCCUACGGGAGGCAGCAGUAUGGAAUCUUCCGCAAUGGGCGAAAGCCUGACGGAGCAACGCCGCGUGAGUGAUGAAGGUCUUCGGAUCGUAAAACUCUGUUAUUAGGGAAGAACAAAUGUGUAAGUAACUAUGCACGUCUUGACGGUACCUAAUCAGAAAGCCACGGCUAACUACGUG